rnacentral:rRNA from 1 species
AGUGAACGCUGGCGGUAGGCCUAACACAUGCAAGUCGAACGGCAGCACAGUAAGAGCUUGCUCUUACGGGUGGCGAGUGGCGGACGGGUGAGGAAUACAUCGGAAUCUACUUUUUCGUGGGGGAUAACGUAGGGAAACUUACGCUAAUACCGCAUACGACCUACGGGUGAAAGCAGGGGAUCUUCGGACCUUGCGCGAUUGAAUGAGCCGAUGUCGGAUUAGCUAGUUGGCGGGGUAAAGGCCCACCAAGGCGACGAUCCGUAGCUGGUCUGAGAGGAUGGUCAGCCACACUGGAACUGAGACACGGUCCAUACGCCUACGGGAGGCAGCAGUGGGGAAUAUUGGACAAUGGGCGCAAGCCUGAUCCAGCCAUACCGCGUGGGUGAAGAAGGCCUUCGGGUUGUAAAGCCCUUUUGUUGGUAAAGAAAAGCAGCAGGUUAAUACCCCGCUGUUCUGACGGUACCCAAAGAAUAAGCACCGGCUAACUUCGUG